CGCUCAGUGCAUGCAAGGAAUUAAUCCUGCCGGGUACCCAUUCACCUCACCUGGGUCAAGUGCAGCACAUUGCGGAUAAUUGAUGAGGUCGUGUUUGACUGCUCUAAAUUGAACUAGAUAUUAUUAUCACAAUAUCAAAAUUGAUCAACCGUUAAUGAAGUUUGUGUACAUUUGCUAGCAGCAAAGUAAAAGGAAGCCAAGUCCUUGGAUAUUACUUUUGUUGUUGAAAUUAACACCUUAGUGAUUGGUCUUUGUUUUGUUAUAUGUUUUCCUUUUAGGUUUCAUAAAGCUAACAUGGUCUAGCAUGUUAGCAUUGAAAGAAAAUAUUUGGAAAGCUAUUAUGAUUAACAUUGAAAAUAGCUUGAUGUGCAUGUACAUGUAUAUUUGAAUAAAAUGUCGUAUUUUUUUUUUGCAUGUAAUUAUUUACCAUUUCUUUAAUUUGAUAAAGUAUGUUGUUUAAAAUGUACAACUUGUAAAAAGAUUUUAGAGUAUACUAUCAUGAUAUGUUGUCAUAUUUCCUUUUGCCGAAGUGAAAAAAAUAUUUCUGGAAUUGAAUAAUAAUUGAAUAUAUGGUUUUCAGGUCCAUCAUAAUUUUGAAGAGUAACGGAUGGAAGACCUGAUUCUUGGACUCACUGACUUGUCAUAACAUACAAGAUUUAUGCCAUAUUGUGUAUUACUUUCUUUUUCUUUGCUUAAAUGGUAGUUGGGAGACAUCACUUUGUAUUAAAAAUGAUGGUUCCAGUGGAAAGUUGUACUCUGUCUUACAAAGUAAAGUAAUUGAUCCAAUUGAUCUCAACUAUAGAAAGAAAGCGAUUCCAUUAUCUACAAUGAAUAUUUGCCAUUAUACCUGUAAUAUCCUUUAAAUACAAUGAAUGAAAUAUACACUUUCUUUGUUUUGGUCUGUUAAUGUAAUUCGUGUUAAGGAGGGGAUGAGGAAAUAGGUCAAUAGACAAAUUCUUAUGGUACUGUUGACUUUCCAUAGUUAAGUUUGAUUGUAUCAAUGUUACUUUUGUAAGACAGGAACCUAGAAUGCCCGGAACUUGAAGAAUGAACUUUAUAUGUAAGGAGUUAUUUUUAUGUUUAUUGUCAGUCCCAUUAUGACAGCUUCAUGUGAUGUUUUACACCAAAGCUCAGAAACUUGAGGGAUUAAAUAAUUGUAAUAAAGGAGUUUGAAAGGUAUUUUCUCAAUGUCAUUUAGAAGUAAAGAAUACAUGCUUCAGGAAUGGUUUGUAAAAUGGUAUCGCAAAGGUAUUCUUGAUUACUUUCUUCUGUUUUGCAGUGCAGGGAUUGUUUUCAUUAAAUCAGGUACACCUGAUAAAUGUCUAUAGCAUAGAUGAAGAUGGAAUAUGAGGAAUCAUAAGUCUGUUUAAUGCACUGAUACAAAAGGCUUGAACAAAUGUGUAAAUACAUUUGAUUUGAACAUAACUCUGAAGUUAAUAUUAGGUAAAGAUAUCAGCUUGAUAUAUUCAGGAUAGAAGCAGCCUAGCAAUCAUUUACUAUAUAUAUAUUGAUGUAGAAUUUUCAUGAUUUAUAAAUCUAUCAUAUGUUAUCAUUAUUAAGCUAUGACUACAUAUCUUUUAAAAUCCAUCCCUCUUGCUUCACGUUAUAUUCAUAUAUAUUAUUAGAUAUUGAACUUAAAGGAAAAUGUAUAUUAAUAUUAUUUACAGCUAUGUAACAAUGUAAACGUGCAACUGCUUAUGAAUCUUCACGCUUGUUGAUAUUAAUUGUGCCUUUCUUCAUGCUUGCCAUCAAUGUAAAAAAUGAAAGAAAUGUUUAGAUUAUGCUGAACCAGAAUUGAAAAAGAUAAAUCAAGCGUUUAUUUACUUGUCUCAAAUAUAACUUGAGCCCACGUAGGAAGUAGCAGUCAUUUAUUUUAUUACAAACAGUAUCCCCUCUGGUCUAAUAUAUUUAAUGAAAGUUUUGUUUAGCUAAGUGAGCUACAUUACUUGAAAAGGGGUCUUUAUACUAUAUAUUUAAAAAUUGUGUGGAUGUUAUAAAGGAUUAAAGGUGCACUGCUUACUACAAGCAGAACAUGAAAGUUUUGAUAGUUUUAUGCUUAAUCUGCAAAACUUGAUGCUUACUAUAAUUUCUGAAUUGAGUUUAUUUUGUCCUUUUCAUUUGAAAACUGUGGUAUUUCUCAAAAAGAAUAUACAAUGAGUGUAUUGCAAAUUUUAUUUGUGUAUUGUGAUUUAAUGACUGGGGAUAUCAUUGCUCCAUGAUAGUUUGGCUUAUCAAAGAUUCACACACAAUGAUGGUAUGAUGUUGACAAUUUUCAUUUACUAAGCAUUAAUACAGUGGUGUUGUGAAUUGUUAUAGGAAAGGUGAUUUACCUUCUGUAUUUAACUGUUAUAUUUGAUAGGGAGCUUUUGAAAAUCAGAGAAAAGGAAAGAGGGUAGAGUUGAGAUGGAAUGAAACAAACAAAGCACUUUAUAUAAGGAGUGUUGUUUUGGAAGAGGAUGAAUGUAAUAUUUGGACGAAGGUCCAUUUUAAUUGCCUUCAGUUCUGGUCUCAUAAGCUCCCUGAUAUGUUUACUACAACAUGUACCAAAAUGAUAAAUUCUCGUAUAAUGUUUACCCGGUAUCAAAAGAUAAUGCCCACAAACUAUCUUACUUUAUGAGGGCCUCAUUAUAAGAAAUAAAGCAAGACAUGAAGCUGAUGUCUGGGAUAUUAAAUACAUACAUGUAUGUGUGGUACUUAGUGAUUUAAAAGGAGUAACUAUUGUAAAGGACAGAUACUGUAGAUGUUAAAUGUAUACUCUAUGAUACAGAUUUCUUGUCUACUCCUGUUAACCCAGAUUCAUUAAUGUUUGCUCUGAUUUUAACCAUUGUUUACAAUGCUUAUGUACUCUUUAUUUUCUUAGAUUUAAUUAUAAUGAUCCUUUAUUUAAUGCAAUGAAUGAACUAUAUUGUAAACUCUGCUUGAGUUUAACUUUUUAGUCUGUAAUCACUUAAUUUCAGACCAGAAAUUGCAAAACAUGUUAAUAUUCUAAUUUGAACCGAUUUCUGAGGUCAAGAAGCAGACUUGCCUGUAUUAAGUUUUUUUUGUGACACAAUUCUCUACAUAAAAACAAGUUUCUUAGUUGAACAAAGUGAUUAAUGCUCAGUUCUUAAGAAGUAUUUGUGUCAGCCUGUGUCCCGUAACACAAAGGUUAACGAUUAAUCGUACACUUAAUAUGUAGUCAAUGCAAUCAGAAAAAAGUUGUACGAUCAUUGCUAAGCUUUGUGCUACGGGCUUUAGAUUAGGAUCAUUGUUCUAUAAUUGUUCAGGUUGGAAGCACGUUGGAUGGUUUAUAACAUACUUAUUUCUAAGUUCAUGGAAUUUACAUUAUACAUGCUAUAAGAUAACGUUUAUUGAAUUAGUAAUUUUUAUCGUUUCCUUUGACAUACAUCUUAAGAUUUCUGUGUUAUAAAUCAUUAUAUAUCUCAUGAGGAGAUUUGGCCACAAUGAACUAGUUAUAAAAUAUACAGGCAAGUAUUGUUUUGUGUACAAUAAAUGCAGCUUUAAUCAGAUUUUCUAUGUAGUUUAUUGAAUUUACUAGGUGUUUUUGAUAAAGAUUGAAAAGAAAUGUUUUGGGGGCAGUUCCAGUUUGGUUUUCCAAUGUUUUACACAGGAUAAUUAUUCGGAGAACACUUUUGAUUCAUUGAGUCUGUAAGUCUGCUGAAUGAGAACAGGGGCAGAUCCAGGAUUAUCAACAAAAAUUCUUUCACACAAUAUACCCCCCCCCUCCUGAAAUACCAUUGAACAUGUAACCACCACCAAAAACUGAAGCCAUUGACAUGGACCUAAAUAACAGACACAAUAAAAUCAUUGUUCAAGUAAUUGUUGGAUUUCAAAUUAAUUUUGUAUUUUAAUACAUAAGAAUUAUGGACAUUAACAUUUCAUUGAAAUACAGAUAUAUAGAUUAUUUUGCAUUCAUAAAAAUAUAGUACUAUCAUUGUAUUAGUAAAUGAGUGCAUAUAUAUAUACAUAAUUCAUUUACAGUUAACCUUGCAUAUGUCAAAUUUACAUUAUUCACAUAAGUUGAAGUAAAUCCUGUCAUAAUUAUCCAGUUUUCCUCUUUACAGUCUCGUUUUUAAAUAAACUAGUAAAAAUAUCUUAUUAUAGGUCCCUAUAUAUACUCAACACAAGAUUGUGAACAAGUUAAAAUAAUUCUUUUCAUUUUAAAACAGUAUCUCUACAUUUGAAAUAGAAAUCUAUUAAGGGUCCCAAAGAAAAGGUAUCUAUUCAAAUUUUUGGAGAGACUAUUAAUAAAUCAUUGCAUUGGUUUGAAGCUAGUGUAAUGUCUGUAAAUCUGACUUAUGCAAGGUUAUCUAUAUGAGAUCUGAACAUGAAUGAGAUGAUGGAGAAUUGAGUGAAAGAUAAGAAGUAAAUGUCCAAAAUAUUAUUGAGUUCAUAUGAUCAAUGAAAUCUUCAUUGGAAUGUAAAAUAGCCUGACAGAAUACCAAACACAUACAUGCCGCAUGUGACACCCAUUAAACCCUUAUUUACAUGCACUAUUCUGUACAAAGACAAUCAUAAUUAUAAGAUUAUUUUAACUUAAUAUUACUUUCACAAUCUAAAAUAAUAUGAACUUCAUCCCUAAUAAAGAAAAUACACAGUAUUUUCAAUCAAUGGAAAAUGGCCCUCCAAAAUUGGUCAUAUUUAGCCUCUUGUAUUAUCCACCAAUCAUACUACUAUCAUGAGCUGUCAUACUUUCAACAUCCAAAACAAGGGGGUAUUUCAUUAAUAUUUUCUACCGAGUUGCUCUUGAUCAAUCACCUGUUAAUGAAAGCAUUUUCAAAUCAAUGAAUUUUCUUGUGUAGGGAGCUAAUGAUAUUGUAUUCCAUGGUUUGCUUAAAACAUGAGCUACAAUAUUUUCAUUAUUAUCUCUGCACACACUACUUGCUAGCUUUCAUGUUACUAAGACCUUUGUUUAUAGGGCAAUAAAAAAUGGUGAUCUGAUGUGUAAAUUUGAUAAAUAUAGGGUUUUCAACUUUAUCAUCAUUAAUUUGUCGUUUUCUCCUGAAUAAAUUAAAUUUUAGAUGUCAUUUCUAACCAUUUUUAGGACCUCAUAAAAAUUAUUCUGAGAUAAAUCUUUGAAAAAUACCUCUUUAAAAAUAAAUACUGAUUUUUACUUUUACAAAGAUCAUACCCUUCUUACUUUCAUUUAAUCUUGUCCAACCUUUUACCAAUAUGCCUGUCAGAUGGAUCUUUCUUUAUCAUCUUCAAAUUGAACAAAUGCAAGACUGCCAUGACAAAUAUAUCAUAAAUAGGAAAAUAAUAAAAACCUUUCUAGCAAUGUAUAUUUAAGCUCUUCUUCUGUUACUAAACAUAGGCUUUAACAAAAUGUUAAAUGGCAAAACACAAAUGCAAUAAAAAUUUGUCUGCUUAUUUCUAGUUCAUAUUCCAUAAUCAUUACAGGUUUUGCAGUUAUUAAACAAUGAGAAUUUGAACAAUGCAAUACAUUUUAAGAAAGAUAUCAAAUAUUACAUAUUCAUACAAAUCACACUGACAAGUGAAACAGUUACAACUUUUAACAAAAUACAGAUUUUUUUUAUACUGCAAUUUUAUCUUUCAUCAAUAUGCCUAAAUAAUUUGAUGAAUGGAGUAAUGUUACAGAAAUUUUAUCUGAAAAAUAUAUUUGUUUGCAUAUACAUGUAUAGAUAUAUAUUUAACAAUUGAAAAAAGAAUAAGCUUUUAUAAGUGUGAGUAUUAUCCCAAGACCAGCUUGUUAUUUCUUCUAUAUCUGUAUAAAGCUGCGAAUAAGUUCAUCCAAUAUAAUUAUAAAUAUUUACCAAUAUCUGGCAUAAUAUGCAUUUAUUUGGCUUUUGAGCACUGUAUCAACCAGUACUAAAACCUGAAUUAGGACUUGAUCCUUGGAUGAUAUAUCUCUAUCCUAUUAUGAUGAUGUGCAUAAGGUCAUAAAUGGCUACAUAACUAUUUUGG